UACGAAGGGGGCUAGCGUUGUUCGGAAUUACUGGGCGUAAAGCGCGCGUAGGCGGUUUUGCAAGCCAGAGGUGAAAUGCCUGAGCUCAACUUAGGAAUUGCCUUUGGGACUGCGAGGCUUUGAGGACUGGAGAGGUGAGUGGAAUUCCCAGUGUAGAGGUGAAAUUCGUAGAUAUUGGGAAGAACACCAGUGGCGAAGGCGGCUCACUGGCCAGUUUCUGACGCUGCAGCGCGAAAGCGUGGGGAUCAAACAGG
rnacentral:rRNA from 2 species